GCGGCUUUAGCUCAGUUGGGAGAGCGUCAGACUGAAGUUGAACUUCGGUCAUCAGAGCAUCUGAAGGUCACCCGUUCGAUCCGGGUAAGCCGCA